rnacentral:lncRNA from 1 species
GCAGCCUCUGCAGCCCGCGGGGUUUUCGGCUGUGCUCAUGGGCUGCCGAGCGGCCGAGCGCUCCUGGUAGGAGAUGGCCGAGGCCGAAGGAGGCUACGGGGGAGCCCUGCCCAGCUCAGCCGUCCCUGCGGCACCCAGGGUCCCGUGGGACUCGCAUUUCCCCUCCCAACCCGGCUGUGCUGGGGGCACCCCUGGGUGCAGGGAUUUCGGAUGGGAAAUGCUGAAAAAUGAUGCAAAAAGGUUACAACGCCCCCCCCCCCCAAAAAAAUAUAAAAAUAAAAAAAAAAUGCAGCUGGGACCGUGCAACCCCCCCAAAAAAAAAAAAAAACAGGGAGUGAGGCAAAGCUGGAGGGGUCCCCAGCACCCACCCGGCUGCACCCCAUUCUGCAUCGCAGCGGCAGGAUGCGACUGCCACCUGGGGGGGAUUUAUUUUUUUUGGGGGGGGGGGUGGGUUGCAGCUUCCUCAUCCUUUGCAGGGCCCCCGCAGGCUGCCGGCAAAGGGCGUUUCGUGCAAUUGAGAACCAGGAAUCUCUGCAAUGUGCCGGCUGCUCCCCAGGAGGCUGGGGCAGCCGUGAGUCACCGCUGCUGCUGGAACGUGACUCAGAGCUGCUGCUGCUCCCCGCCAGGACAUGACCGGACUGCCAAAACCUGGGAGAAGCCCAACGCCGCCGCCGCCCGCCCUCGCCCACCGGCGGGGAGGACGCGGGAGCCCCCCCACAUCGCUCAGCACCCUGCCGGGGCAUCGCCCCACUGCCGAGGGGCAGAGCUCAGCGUGGGAGAGCUCAGCAUGGGGGGCAGAUUGUUUUUUUAUUAUUAUUAUUAUUCAUUAAUAAUUUUUUUCCCUCUUUUUUAUCUUUUUCUCUCUUUUUUUUUUUUUCCUCCAAGCCAGGAAAAUCCCCUUCACCCGCUUUGCUUCGCCCAUCUGUGGGGCCGUGGGUGUCUCCCCAAGGAUUUUGCUGCCCCAUCCUCCAGGCCAGACCCCGUAGGGGAACGGGGAACACCUUGGGUCGCCCCCGCUCCAGGCACAGCCCCCGCACCAGUUCCCGUGCCUCAGUUUCCCCAUCCGAAGGGGAACGGAGACGUCCCCAGGCAGGGGGCAGGGGGGGUGACUUCAGGUCGUGCUUUGAGGUCUCGGGGAGCAGCAGCGGGGUGCUGUGAUUAAUAUUAAUGUGCUCAGGUGGCAGGGAGGGACGGGGCGGACGUGGAGCCGGACAGAGCCACCGCAGCCCUGAGUCACCGACGGCCCCGUGCCGAGCCCCGGCACGCUCACAGCACCCCGGGGGUACCCACCCAUGGGACCCCGCUGCUUCGCACACCCCCUCCUCAUCCUCACCGUGACAGCUCCUGGGGGGGGACACGAUGGCAUCGGAGGGGGUCGGGGGCUGAGCUGAGCACCGGGACGCUCAUCACACCUCAGGCCAUGGCUGCGGCCGCAGCUGCCUCUGUCAGCCGUGAUUGAAAGCCCAGCCGGGCUGGCAGGCCUUCUCUGUGAUCUUGUUAAUUAAGAAAUACAUUUAAUUAGCAGCACCCCAGCUGUGACUCAGCUCAUCAUCAUGAUCGAAACACAAGAGCCGGACUCCAGCGCCACCAGGCCCUGGCCCUGAUGUGGGAUCCCAGCGGGUCCCACGCGGGGUUUUGGGGUGAUUUCCCCCCGGGAUGUGGGCAGAUUGGGGCUGGGGCCAUCCCCACGCACACUCGGGGGCAAAUUACCCAUUGCCAGGCUGCAAAGAAUCCUAUUAAUAACCCAUUUACUAUAAAUAGCCUCAAUAAUGACACCCCGAGCUUUCCAGGAAUAGCUCUUCUGAAAACGUGGGGAAAGCCGUUCCCCCGCGCCGUGAUUUCCAGGUGGGGAAACUGAGGCACGGCCGGCACCGGGCACGGCCCUGCUGCGUCCCCGGGCACGGAGCCGUCUGCCAGGCAGCUGUGGAAUUUGCUCCCCAAAUAAACCAUCAUGGAAAUGAGCCCUUAUGUAUAUU